rnacentral:rRNA from 1 species
UACGAAGGACCCGAGCGUUAUCCGGAUUUAUUGGGUUUAAAGGGUGCGUAGGCGGACUUGUAAGUCAGUGGUGAAAGCCCAUCGCUUAACGAUGGAAUUGCCAUUGAUACUGCAGGUCUUGAGUACAAUUGAGGCGGGCGGAAUGUGUCAUGUAGCGGUGAAAUGCUUAGAUAUGACACAGAACACCGAUUGCGAAGGCAGCUCGCUAAACUGUAACUGACGCUGAGGCACGAAAGCGUGGGGAUCAAACAGG